GCCGAGACGCGUCCAGAGCAUUUGUGACCGGGGACUAUUCUGAAGCAGGCCUUGUGGAUGAUAUAUCUGAUUUGUCAGCCGCUGAGAUGCUGACACUUCAAAAUUGGCUUUCAUUCUAUGAGAAGAAUUAUGUAUGUGUUGCCCCCACCUCUCACUGGAGUCCUACUUGGACAUGACUGACUUCCUGAGGAACACCAGUGUCACUUCACCAUCGAAACAGGAAGGGUGAUAGGACGGUUCUACGGAGAGGAUGGGCUGCCUACCCCGGCACUGACCCGGGUAGAAGCUGUGAUCACCGGAGGCUUGGAGUCCAACAAACUAGAACUGCAAGAGAAGCAGACAUUCCCGCCGUGCAACGCGGAAUGGAGCUCAGCCAGGGGCAGCCGGCUCUGGUGCUCCCAGAAGAGUGGAGGUGUGAGCAGAGACUGGAUUGGCGUCCCCAGGAAGCUGUAUAAGCCAGGUGCUAAGGAGCCCCGCUGCGUGUGUGUGAGAACCACCGGCCCCCCUAGUGACCAGAUGCCCGACAACCCUCCACACAGAAAUCGUGGGGACCUGGACCACCCAAACCUGGCGGAGUACACAGGCUGCCCACCGCUAGCCAUCACAUGCUCCUUCCCACUCUAAGCCAUAGCCUUUUCUGUUGAUAACACACAGAGAGCUCUGCCAAGCACCUGAGUAGGCCCUUGACACUUGUGUGCCCUGGGAUGCCCCCUGGGGCGAAUCAGGAGGGUCUGGAAGGACUCUGGCUGUAUUCUGCAAAUGUGGCUCAUGCCCCUUACCGUGGCUUGGCGUUGUGGUGCCUGAGGGACAGCCGGCCACCUGCCCAGUACUGGUCAGCUUUUCACCACUAUUCCCUUUGACCUACCGGCCAUCUUCCUCACAGCCCUCAGAUAUCAACAGGCACAAAUAAGACCAACUCAAUUUCCACUUGAAUUUACAACCAAAAGCCUGCUGGGUUGAUUACAGCUGGGCCAAUACAGUAAGAGGCAAUAACAAA
rnacentral:sRNA from 1 species